GUCAAGCAUAGAUAAGGCUCAUGGUGAAUGCCUUGGCAUAGACAGGCGAUGAAGGACGUGAUAAGCUGCGAAAAGCUACGGGGAGCUGCAAAUAAGCUGAGAUCCGUAGAUGUCCGAAUGGGGAAACCCGCUCUGGUACGUCCAGAGCACUUAGCGCUGAAAAGAUAGGCGUUAAGAGCGAACGCGGCUAACUGAAACAUCUAAGUAGCCGUAGGAAGAGAAAACAAUACAGUGAUUUCCUUAGUAGCGGCGAGCGAAGGGGAAAAAGCCUAAACUGAUAGGGUUUCGGCUCUAUCAGGGUUGUAGGACUUGCAAAUGAGACUCCACGUUGAAGACGAAGCCGACUGGAAAGCGGCACCAAAGAGGGUGAUAGUCCCGUAGACGUAAGACAACGAGUCUCGCAAGAAUCCUGAGUACCACGGGACCGGAGAAAUCCUGUGGGAAUCUACCAGCACCAUCUGGUAAGGCUAAAUACGCGUCUAUGACCGAUAGUGGACCAGUACCGUGAGGGAAAGGUGAAAAGAACGCCUAAUAGGCGAGCGAAAAGUACCUGAAACCAUGAGCUGACAACCAGUUGGAGCACCGAUUUCGAUCGGUGUGACAGCGUGCCUUUUGCUUAAUGAGCCUACGAGUUGCACUUUGCUGGCAAGGCUAAGACCCUCAGGGUCGAAACCGAAGCGAAAGCGAGUCUGAACAGGGCGCACAGUCAGUAAAGGCAGACGCGAAACCAAGUGAGCUACCCAUGACCAGGUUGAAGCGCGGGUAAGACCGCGUGGAAGACCGAACCGCCUGACGUUGAAAAGUCAUCGGAUGAGUUGUGGGUAGGGGUGAAAGGCCAAUCAAACUUGGAAAUAGCUCGUACUCCUCGAAAUGCAUUUAGGUGCAGCGCCAUGUAAGAGUCUACCGGAGGUAGAGCACUGAUUGGGCUAGGGCCCUUCACCGGGUACCAAACCCAGACAAACUCCGAAUGCCGGUACGAUGCACAUGGUAGUGAGGGCACGGGGGAUAAGCUCCGUGUCCGAGAGGGAAACAACCCAGAUCGACAGCUAAGGCCCCAAAGUUUAGACUAAGUUGAACGAAGGAGGUCUGACUGCUUAGACAACCAGGAUGUUGGCUUAGAAGCAGCCAUUCAUUCAAAGAGUGCGUAAUAGCUCACUGGUCGAGCGGUCGGGCACCGAAAAUAAACGGGCAUCAAGUCUAACGCCGAAGCUUCGAAUUGCUAUUCCGACUACGGUCGGAAUGCAGUGGUAGAGGAGCAUUCCAGCAGCGCAGAAGCCGUGUCGCGAGGCACCGUGGAGCUUCUGGAAAAGAAAAUGUAGGCAUGAGUAACGAUAAGACAAGUGAGAAACUUGUCCGCCGUAAACCUAAGAGUUCCUGUUCAACGCUAAUCGGAACAGGGUUAGUCGGGACCUAAGUCGAGGCCGAAAGGCGUAGACGAUGGAAAACGGGUCAACAUUCCCGUACCUCCCAACAACGUUAACAUAAGGCGUGACGCAGUCGCGUAAGAUCCGCGUAUCGACGGAAUGAUACGUUGAAGUGCGUAGGCUGGAGAGUAGGCAAAUCCGCUCUCCAUGAAGGCCGAAACACGACAGUAGGAGGAGCCGACAGGCAAAUCCAUAGUGAUCCCAAGUAUGCUGCCAAGAAAAGCGUCGUAUGUUGUUUCGGGAGCCCGUAUCUCAAACCAACACAGGUAGGUGAGGAGAAUAUCCUCAGGCGCUCGAGUGAUUCGUGGUUAAGGAAUUCGGCAAAUUAGUCCCGUAACUUCGGGAGAAGGGACGCCCUACUUUGUUCAAAAGGGAAGUAGGGCCGCAGUGAACAGACUCAAACGACUGUUUAACAAAAACACAGACCUCUGCUAAGUCGCAAGACGACGUAUAGGGGUUGACACCUGCCCGGUACCGGAAGGUUAAUGAAGUGUGUUAUUCUGACUUCGGUCAGAAGAAGCUCACGACUGAAGCCCCGGUAAACGGCGGCCGUAACUAUAACGGUCCUAAGGUAGCGAAAUUCCUUGUCGGGUAAGUUCCGACCUGCACGAAUGGUGCAACGAUUUGAGUACUGUCUCGACCACGAGCUCGGUGAAAUUGUGGUGUCGGUGAAGACGCCGACUCCCUACAGUGGGACGGAAAGACCCCGUGCACCUUUACUACACCUUGGCAUUGACAUUAGUCAGAAUAUGUGCAGGAUAGGCGGAAGGCUUGGAAGCAGCGUCGCUAGGCGCUGUGGAGCCAUCCCUGAAAUACCGCCCUUAUUCUGAUUGAUGCCUAACCCUCGGCCGUUAGCCGGUCGGGAGACAGUGUCAGGCGGGUAGUUUGACUGGGGCGGUCUCCUCCUAAAUAGUAACGGAGGAUUUCAAAGGUACCCUCAGCAUGGUCGGUAAUCAUGCAUAGAGUGCAAAGGCACAAGGGUGCUUGACUGCGAGACAUACAGGUCGAGCAGGUGCGAAAGCAGGACUUAGUGAUCCGGCGGUUCCGAAUGGAAGGGCCGUCGCUCAAAGGAUAAAAGGUACGCCGGGGAUAACAGGCUAAUCUCCGCCAAGAGUCCAUAUCGACGCGGAGGUUUGGCACCUCGAUGUCGGCUCGUCGCAUCCUGGAGCUGGAGAAGGUUCCAAGGGUUGGGCUGUUCGCCCAUUAAAGCGGCACGCGAGCUGGGUUCAGAACGUCGUGAGACAGUUCGGUCCCUAUCUACUGUAGGCGUUGGAAACUUGAACGGAGCUGCUUCUAGUACGAGAGGACCGAAGUGGACGAACCGCUGGUGUACCAGUUGCGUCGCCAGGCGCAUUGCUGGGUAGCUAUGUUCGGAAGGGAUAAGCGCUGAAAGCAUCUAAGCACUAAGCCCCCCGUAAGAUUAGGUUUCCCCAAUAGGUCGUUCGAGAUUAGGACGUGGAUAGGCAGCAGGUGUACGCAUGGCAACAUGUUUAGCCGAGCUGUACUAAUUACCUAUGAGGCUUGACC
rnacentral:rRNA from 1 species